rnacentral:rRNA from 1 species
AGAGUUUGAUCCUGGCUCAGGAUGAACGCUGGCGGUCUGCUUAACACAUGCAAGUCGAACGGAGUAGAAAUACUUAGUGGCGGACGGGUGAGUAACGCGUGAGAAUCUGCCUUCAGGACGGAGACAACAGUUGGAAACGACUGCUAAGCCCCGAUGAACCGAAAGGGAAAAUAUUUAUAGCCUGAAGAUGAGCUCGCGUCCGAUUAGCUAGUUGGGGAGUAAAAGCCCACCAAGGCGACGAUCGGUAGCUGGUCUGAGAGGACGAUCAGCCACACUGGGACUGAGACACGGCCCAGACUCCUACGGGAGGCAGCAGUGGGGAAUUUUCCGCAAUGGGCGAAAGCCUGACGGAGCAAGACCGCGUGGGGGAAGAAGGCUCUUGGGUUGUAAACCCCUUUUCUCUGGGAAGAAAGUUGUGAAAGCAACCUGACGGUACCAGAGGAAUCAGCAUCGGCUACUCCGUGCCAGCAGCCGCGGUAAGACGGAGGAUGCAAGCGUUAUCCGGAAUGAUUGGGCGUAAACGUCCGCAGGUGGCAGUUCAAGUCUGCUGUCAAAGACCGGGGCUUAACUUCGGAAAGGCAGUGGAAACUGAACAGCUAGAGUAUGGUAGGGGCAGAGGGAAUUCCUGGUGUAGCGGUGAAAUGCGUAGAGAUCAGGAAGAACAUCGGUGGCGAAGGNNCUCUGCUAGACCAUAACUGACACUCAGGGACGAAAGCUAGGGGAGCGAAUGGGAUUAGAUACCCUAGUAGUCC